AUAGAUAUAUAUACAACAAAGUUGUAUAUACAACAAUGAAUAACCUAUAUAUACAACAAUGUUGUAUACCUACAACAACGGUAUAUCCUAUAUAUACAACAAUGUUGUAUACCUACAACAACGGUAUAUCCUAUAUAUACAACAAUUGUUGUAUACCUACAACAACGGUAUAUCCUAUAUAUACAACAAUUGUUGUAUACCUACAACAACGGUAUGUCCUAUACCUACAACAAUAGCAAUCUGGCAACAUCGCAGAAUGGGCGGCAACGACAAGCACUGAAAAGCCCGUGGACGACACCGACUGCCGGCGCCGGCUCACGGUCGUCGCCGCCAUCUUGCCAAGCGGAGAGCGGAGCGCGGACCGGAGCGGAACUGUGAAAAUUCCGGAAAACGAAGCCACGAGCACCAGAAAACAGGAAAUGCUAGUGGAAGAUUCGCCGUAUUGUUCACAGGGACAAACGACCUGGGGACGACCCUGCGCGUCCAAGUCUGGACGGUGCCGAUUCCCGCGUGGCAUGGACACGACCCGAGGAAGGAAGGAUUUGGCCUUGUUGAGGUUGAGCAGCAGGCCCAGCAAAUGUCGUCCGCAGUGGCGUUCAAAUGCAAAACAGGACACCUGGACGGUGCAGAUUUUUGUGCGGUCGAGGAAGGAAGGAUUUGGCCUUGUUGAGGUUGAGCAGCAGGCCCAGCAAAUGUCGUCCGCAGUGGCGACGAAAUGCAAAACAGGACACCUGGAUGGUGCCGAUUUUUGUUCGGUCGAGGAAGGAAGAUUUUUGUGCGGUCGAGGAAGGAAGGGUUAGGCCUUGUUGAGGUUGAGCAGCAGGCCCAGCAAAUGUCGUCCGCAGUGGCGACGAAAUGCAAAACAGGUCACCUGGACGGUGCCGAUUUUUGUUCGGUCGAGGAAGGAAGGGUUAGGUCUUGUUGAGGUGAGUUUUAACAGUGAAAUUAGCACUGGGCUGAUUUGGAUCUGUAUUUUGGGCCAUUAUUUCUCGAUUUUCUUUGGUGGAACUUGAUUUUCUAUUCAUAAUAAUCAUACAUAAACAGAUUGCAUAUAAUAUGUAUGGCGGAGACACAAUUCUGGGCCAGUCCACACUUCUGGGCCACUUCCAUAAGAAAAGCAUUGAUUUUAUGGAUUUUAUUGUUGUGACCCACGUGAUUUUAAAUUGAACCAAUUGGUUCAAAGUUUUUUGGUUCAAAGGGGGACAAAAAUUGAACCAAAUCCUUAAUGCAAUGAUUUCAAAUAAAGAACCAAUUGGUUUAAUGAAUAAAUUUUCAAAAUUUUAAAUAUAUUUUAAAUUUAGAUGCAAUUUGCACUUUUCGCACCUAAGGAUGAAUAGACUGAUUAAGUCUUGUAAUUUAAUUGGCUGAAAACACAUAACUUAAUUAGUUCUUACCUGGAUUCGAACCUUGUGAUUUAUGAGCACAUCCUCUACCCUCUGCACCACUCGCGUAACGGUAUAUGUUUUAAAAAUUUGACGUAUAUAUAUCAAAUAGGAAAAAACCGUGGAAGAUGCGCCUGCUUUUAGUGACUAAUCAGCCAUUAUGUGAGAAAACGUCCUGAUUUAACUUAUAUUCUACUCUCAUUGGGCCAGUUGCAACAUUAAAUAUACCUACAAAAACUUAUUAAUAAAGAUUUCCGGGGUUAUGUACCAAUAAAAUUUUCAAAUUUUUAUAAAAGGUUUGUUUUUUGGCAUUUGGUUAUUUGCAAGAAAUUAAAAAAUGAUUGCACACACCAUUUGAUGUUGGCAAAUAAUGAGUUAAUAAACUGAAAAAAAUUUAGAAAUUUUUAAUUUUGUGGUACUGAAACAUAUGAAGUUUUUGGUUCUCUGAAUGAAAACAGCAAUGUAGCAAAAUUAUACAUUCCACCCCAUCAAUACUUAAAAUGUUAUUCUAUAUUGAAACCUAAAAAAUAUGAACCAAAUUCCCUGUUUUCUUGUGCAUAGUGAUUGUUUAAUUAAUGAAAGGAGUUAAAAUUUAAUCGGAUCAUAACAUAAUUUUUAAGAUGUUCAUAUGGAAAAAAUCCAAAGUUUUUAUUCGUUUUUUCCUAAAUAUUAACCAAAAUAUUUACAUUAUUCUGAGUCAAAAAUACAUACGAAUGCUUGAAGUUUUGAUUCUUUGUUGCAAAUUAUUGAACCAAUAGAUACUCUUAAACAAACUUUGCUUCUAUUUUUUAGAAAUAAAGAACCAAAACUCUGUUACAGACAUGAUUUGAUUCUUUAUUUUAAAAAAUUGAACCAAAACUUCUGUAUGUUGCUUCAUUAAAACAAAAAAUUGAACCAACUUGGUUCAUUGAUUUGAUUUUGAACCAAAAUUGGUUCUAUUAAUAGGAUAAUUGCAUCAAUUGGUUCAAAAAAGUGCAAUCUUUGAACCAAAUGACCAAAAUUGAACCAAUUGGUUCAAUUUAAAAUCACGUGGGGACCCAUCAACAAUGAAAACAAUGCUAUUUAAAUGGAAGUGGCCCAGAAGUGUGGAAUGGCCCAGAAUUGUGUCUCCGCCAUAUGUAAAAUAUUAUCAAAAUGCAAACAGAGAAUGUAUACAUGCAAAUAUAUGUACCAUAACUUUUAGCGCAUUAAAACCUGCCUUGUCUAGGUUGAGCAGCAGGCCCAGCAAAUGUCGUCCGCAGUGGCGUUCAAAUGCAAAACAGGACACCUGGACGGUGCCGAUUUUUGUGCGGUCGAGGAAGGAAGGGUUAGGCCUUGUUGAGGUUGAGCAGCAGGCCAGGUGAAUGCCGUCCGCAGUGGCGAUUAAGAUUCAGUGCAAGUAACCAUGGAUAUGGAGGGAGCUGUCAUAAUCUCCUUGGACUUGAUUGGAUAUCCAUGCUGGAUUCUUGCUCUGCGCGUGCUUCUUCAGCUUGUCCCGGUGCUCGUUACUUGUCCCUUUUGGUCGACCACGGACCUUUGGUUUUAGUGGAAAACCAAUCUUCUGCUGAGAAGUGAUGUUUCUCAAAAACUCUGAUGCUGGAAGAAAUUCUUCUUCAUGAGCCACUGCAAUUUCCACCGAGCCAUCUUUAUCCUCCUCGAAAUCCUUGCCUGCCUCUUGCCCAGCAGAUUCAACUUCUGACACUUCAACCAGCGCCAAUCCGUCUUCCGCAGAGCCAAUUUCCCGACCCUGUGACUCCUCAGCUUGCACAGAAUAGUUUGCCUGUGCCUCAACAUUAUUUCCAUCAUCUUCGCAAGAGACAGAGCAGACUUCUUCAACGUCAAAAACUCCUACGUCUUCCACUGGACGCAACACAUUCGCAUUUCUGCCAGCUAUAAAUGUGAAUUAAUAAGGAGGCAGCUGCUGCUCACAAGUUUGGUAUUGAAUGGUCCAGCGCAUUGGGAUUUCCACAGCAUCGAUCAUGGGAAGCCCAAUUUCCUUCCUCAGAGCCAUGAUGUGGUAGCAAGGUUGAAUCAAACAGGAGCAGCUCUGGAAAUUUUGCGUAAUUCUUCUUCAUCUCUGAGGUUGCGAUGAAAAGACAUGAGAAGUUGCCCUCCGGACCAGUGAUGAUUGUGUAUGAUCCUAAUUACAAACAUAAUAUGCAAUGGCAAUCUAUUGGCAUGAUAUGGUUCAGGACUUGGGGUCUAAAGGAUUGAGAAAGCCUGGUGUCAGAUAAGUGAAACAUAACAAGUUGAUAAAUGUGUACUUUGUGAGCUCCUAUUUUUUCAGAUUCCGGAUGGUGGAUCUCCAUUGGCAAAAAAAUAAGCUGGUGCAUGGAGACAAGAUAAUACCUAAUGAAAUCAAAAUGUGCUGUCAUCGAGAGUUCACUACUUGAGAGACUCGAUUUUAAUCAUAUAACCAUCUUUAGAAUAUUUACAUGUGAAAGUAUACCAUUUUAUAAUCAAUAGAAAAUUUUGUAGCCAGAUUUUUAUGUGUUAUAUUGAUAUAUUACUUCUCAUUGUCCAGAUCCUUGGGUAGGACUGCUUUCCCCGUCUCCUUCAUGAUAACCUCUCUUAUCUUGGUUGGAUUCACUCCAAGGUCGUCAAGCUGCUGCAGACGCUCCUUCUCUGUGUUGUUCAAUCUACGCUGCUUAGGGUAUUGUGCAAAAUCAGCCGGACAUGGUUUGUGCACCUUUUCAUGUACGUCUGUGGUCACGUGACAGUCGUAGAUGUAUAGCAUUUCAUUACGAGUGCCCACCUUGAAAUAGGCACCACAGCCAAGUUUGUAGGAUCUGAAAAAUUAUUGUUCCUUAUAACAAUGUAGCUAAUGAUAUGCAAUAUUGAAAGAAAAAAUUUGGAUAAUAUGUAUUGCAUACAAAAAUCAAAAUAAUAUGUGCUUAGCAUUAAGGAUAUGUGAAGUUUUUGUAUUAAUGUAUUACAAAUAAUCACAAUUUUCAAAUUAAGGGCACAUUGUAGUGCAAAUUAUUCUCAUGUUUCCAAUUGCUCAAAAUCCCUCAUAACUGAAUGCACAUGUUGGAAAAUAUGUAAUGUAUAUUUACUUCUGAUUGGGGCGCUGCCCUGUCGAACGACCAUCAACGGGAUCUCCAUAAUGGAUACAUGCAUAUUUGGCAGAUCUAAUGACCAAUUUGUUCUUCUUUGUCUCCAAUUUGGCCCUGGCCGCUGCAUCAACCACCUUGUCAGAGAUUUUUAUGUAGUUGCUGCUUAGGCAUGUAUACACAAUGAAGGUUUCUUGUUCCAAUGCCUUAAUUGCCUCUGAAAGAUCACUAAAACUUUUGAAGGUCUUGCCAUUUGUGAUUGACAGUGUUUGUGCCAUUUUACAAAACCGCUUGAAUCACAGAUCACAUACAGACUAAAGAGCAGGAGCACAAGCAAAGAGUACCCAGAGCUGCAGAUCUAAUUGAAUUUGAGCAGUGUUGAAACAUGUUCUGUUUGCCUGCUGUUCCCCCUCUUACACUCUCAAAGUUCCAUUCCCUGAUUGCAAGUGAAGAUGCAAUAAUAAUACUGUGCUGUCACCUCUUUUUGUUUGGAGAAUGAUGUUUAUGUAUUUGUAGCCAAUCUAGCUGCCGCAGAUUCACAAAAAAGUUAUUGUAAAAAAUUGUAUUAAUAAAACACUGAUUGUGUUUUCCCAUCGA